AAGGUCCUAGCUUAAUUAAAGCAUUUGAGUUGCAUUCAGAAGAUGCAGGUUAGUGUCCUGCGGGUCUUA
rnacentral:tRNA from 1 species